CUAAUAUAGUUAUCUUAUAAGUUAUAAUUCUUUGUGUGAACGGGGCUUUAGUCUGACCGUUUCUGGCAGUUAUUGUUAUAUUUUCACUUUUUAUUAUCUGUAACCUAAAGCUUGAAUUAAUUGUUAACAUUAACAUAGCAGUUUUCCAGGGAUCCCUAACACAAACAUGAUGAAGCUUUUCAGUAAAAAGCAAACAAGAUCAGAAAUGGUUAAGAGGGAUAGGGACGUGUGUGUGCACUUUGGAUGGGUUAAAUGCAGAGCACGAAUUCUGAGUAUGGGUCACCAUACUUGGCUGUAUGUCACUUCACUUUCACUUUGAAAUAUUACUGAUCUCUUUACAGUCUAUUGGCAUGUUUGUAAUAUUAUAUAGAAUAUUAAUUAUUCUUCAUAAUUUAUUUUAAAUAUAGUAACAAUUUAAAAUGCAACUGAAAGUAAUUCAAAAUGUAUCUGAAAUCAAUUAAAUAUGUAACCCAGUGUAAUUAUCUUCACAGAUUGUUUUAAAGGACUCCCAUCCAUACUGUUGCAGCACUGUACCAGACAGCACACUAUUCAGAACUGAGAAUCAGUGCAGUUCCUCCUGUACAGAGCCGCACUGAAUGGAGCAGAGCUGGCACAAACCUAGAACAAUGAGAGAAGCCAGGUCCUGUCAGUGGGCUGGUGGUCCUGUUUGCAAGAGAGGAAACUCGCUGAGUGGUUAAGGAGAAUGUUUACAGUGGUGUCACCAGCGAUCUGCCUGACAUAUCAGUCCUACAAGUGGCAGUAGUGUUAAAAAAAACAUAGUAACAUACCAUUACUAUGGUCUCACACACCAUGUGGAAUGCAGGUUCAAUAACUCUCCAAAAGGCCAUUAAAUGGUUCUACAUGUCAAAUCUAGAUUGGAUGAGACAUGUUUUCAGAAAAUACACACCAAACAAUGUAAAAAGAACCUGAAGGAUACUUUAAAAAUGUAUAAUGAAUUUUACAUACAAGUAAAGAAGAAGAAGAAGAAGAAGAUUUUAGCUGGGAUUUUAGCUUAUUCUCCCUCGUGUCAUUUUAACCGUUAUGAAUUUCUUCUGUAAAUAGCUUACUGACAUUUCUGUAUGCCAAUGAAGAAAGCAAGCCAUAUGGGUUUACAACGACAUAAUUGUGAGUAUAUGAUGACAGCUUUAUUUUUAUUUUUGGGUGAAUCAUCUAUUAAUCCGUUAACACGUAUUGCCUUGACCCACAGAAGAGGUUUUUAAACAGGCAACCACAGACCAAAUAAAUAAAUAAAUAAAGUGAGAAUGUCGUUGUGUUGUGAGCUUAAUGUCGUUGUGAGCCUAUGUUUGCUUUUUUAAUGUCGUUGUGUUGUGCACUGGGCCACCGUAGGUAUUGCAUUUCUUAAUGAAUAAUUACAAAUCAUCUGCAGGAUUCUGCAGUAGGUCAUUUACACAGGUGGGUGUUAUGUCUCCCUCUACAGGCUUAAUGAGUUUUACUAUUUUGUAUUUUCUGAAGCAGACUUGAGUACAGGUCUCAAAAAUCAUGAAUGGGACAAUAUAUAUUUGCCUCUAGCGAGAUGCUACUCCCAUUUCUUUUCUUGUUUUACAAUGCACUAUUAUCUAAUAUUCUUGCAUUUGAGAAAAGACUGAUCAAUGAAAAUUCAAGCAGACUGUUUUAAAAUAACUGAUUGUAGAGAUUGAAGCUCUUUGUCAUUUUUGAAAGCAUUAUGUAAGUAUAGUAUUAAUGUUGUGAUAUAAACAUUGCAUAUUAACAGCAUGUGAAAUAAAUUAUACACAUAUGAAGUUCGAUCCCUGCUGAUUUAUUGAAAUGCUUGGAUCUUAAGCAAGUGGCAGUUGUGCCGCAGUAAUUGUGCACACUUUGAGGGCCAUACAAAUAGUUAUAGAUGGUUGAUCUCUUACACUCGAACACAAAAACAUUCACAUACACCAGCACCAGCUAUGUAAGCACUUUGCACGGAGUACUGUACAUCAAUACUAACAGAUUAUAUAUAUAUACACACACACACAACUUUAUAUAUCACUUCUUGGCCACUGGCUCUCCCAUACUCACACUUUACUCUUUACAUAAUACUUUAUAGAGCGCAUGGAAUCAUACACAAAUACAGGGAUGCAAGUGAGAUAAAUAUUAACACUAAAAAACCUCAUGGUUGUGCAUUAGAUGCUUAAGAAGAGGAGCUUUCUCAAACUCAAACUCUUACACACAAGGUAUGACACGGUUUGAUGGUUUUCACUCCAGUCUUCCUCUAUCAUAUUUGUGUUAUUGGGAAUAUGAAAGGGCAAAAGAGAAAGA